CUCGUUGUGCGACCAACGAUAGCCUAGGAAGACAUGCGUCACUGGUAACGGUGAGGUGUGAAGCUCUUCUCACAAUGUAGUCCCCGUCAGGGUGUGCUUUUGCCGCGAGGUAAAGCAUAGAUACUCGGAGCAGUGCCGGGUUGAGACG
rnacentral:ncRNA from 2 species